UACGUAGGUGGCAAGCGUUGUCCGGAUUUAUUGGGUUUAAAGGGUGCGUAGGCGGCUUUGUAAGUCAGUGGUGAAAUAUGGCAGCUCAACUGUCAAGGUGCCAUUGAUACUGCGGAGCUUGAGUACAGAUGAGGUAGGCGGAAGUUGACGGUGUAGCGGUGAAAAUGCUUAGAUAUCGGGAGGAACACCAGUGGCGAAGGCGACUACCUGGCCUGUUCUUGACGCUGAGGCGCGGAAAG
rnacentral:rRNA from 1 species